rnacentral:rRNA from 1 species
UGGGGAAUUUUGGGCAAUGGGCGCAAGCCUGAUCCAGCCAUUCCGCGUGCAGGAUGAAGGCCCUCGGGUUGUAAACUGCUUUUGUGCGGAACGAAAAGGCCUUUUCUAAUACAGAGGGCUCAUGACGGUACCGUAAGAAUAAGCACCGGCUAACUACGUG